rnacentral:rRNA from 1 species
UGUCACGGUUGUUGUACAACAGCAAUGGUGUGCGGAAUGGAAAGUUUUGUGAACCUUAACACUUAGAGGAAGGAGAAGUCGUAACAAGGUUUCCGUAGGUGAACCUGCGGAAGGAUC